GUGGUUCUGUAGGCAAACAUCAAUGCCUUGAAAUAAUAAAUAAUGAAAAAUAGUCUUCCAGGUCAGCUUACAAACUGACAUCACAACAGCUGCAUCCACUGAAGUUAUUGAAGUUGCUUGUAGUUUUCAGUUUGGGGAUUUGUAUUUAUUGAGUGCCUUUAAUUCAAGUAGAUUUCAUCUAGUGAUCAUCUUCUCCACAGGUUGAGCCCCAGCUUUACUCUGUCCAUCAUUAUGGAGAUUUACGAGACUCGCUUUCCUCAGUAUGUGUCCAGUCUGAUGAGUUCAGCAGGAAAUGACAUCAACCUGAAUGCCAGAGUGUUGGACUCUGUUCACUGCGCUGCCCUGCGCUUCACUCUAGAGCACUGCAACACUGUCAAACUCAAUCUGCUCUGGACCUCCAUACCAGAGGAGCAGCUAGAGAGCUUUCUGCCUUUACUCAGCAGAGUCAAACAACUCAGUGUUGACAGGCUGCUGUUGCUGAAGCUGCUUCAUUGCUGCAGUUCCUCUGAUCUCCAGCAGGAGGCCGCAGAUGUUCUUCUCGCUGCUCUUCACAACACGCUGGACUUCUCCUGCUGCUCUGCUCUGGAUUUAACAGACACACAGGAAAACCAAGAGCAUUUGAAACUAACUGAAAAAGACUGUAGAAUAAUCUCAUCUGUGCUUCAGAAAACUCAAAGCAUUGUGAAGUUGAGCUUACAGGACUGUGAGCUCUCUGAUGAGGCCCUGAAACAACUUUGGCCAAUCCUGCCUCAAGUGCAGCUGAACUGUAGUAAAGCUCUGCUGCUGCAGUUUCUGGCUUGUAUUAGUAAAGAUGGAUCUCAGAGAGGCUCUUUGAGGAGCGCUGAGGCUCUUUCACAGGCUUUGGGAGGAGAGAUGGACCUCAGUCACACUCAGAUGGACCCGAGAGUUUGUGAACAGCUGGCGCUGUUUCUGGAAUAUUCUGAAGGACUGACAGAACUGGAUCUCAGUCACUGCAAACUCACUGAUCUCUGCAUGGAGCCGCUGCUGCCACAUCUGCACAAAACCCAGACUCUGGAUCUGAGUCACAAUACUAUCACAGAUGAAUCAGCAAAGAGAGUCCACAGUGUCGUCUGCACUCACAGCAAUAUUCAGACUGUACGACUCUUCGGAAACAAAAUCAGUGAUAGAAAGCAGUUCAUCAGAGACAAGCGAUUUGAAAUAUGGUGAAGAUCCUGGGCCAGAAACGUAUUGAUUUAACAUUAAGAGGGUAUUUUGUAUAAGGCUUGAUUCAUGAUGAAACAAACUGACAGUUACUUUGCAAAGCACUAAACUGUGUUCUGUGUAGUAGUUUAUUUUUAUGAUUAAUUUAGAAUAAUAGCUUUAUAUCUUUAAUGCAGCUUUGGUUAAUUUGAACCAGAUUUAUAUAAAUGAAAUGUUUAUUAUAUUACAAAGCUAUGAUGAUGUAUAUUUUGCAAUGUGUUAGGCAAGAGUUAUGGUUUGGGGAUGUAGUGCUACUAGGUGUUGAUCUGUCUUCACUGGCUACCCUUCACCGCUCACAUCAAGUUCAAGACCGCCACAGGCUGCUCACCCUCUUACAAAUACACCUCCACUGCUGCUGUUGGUGGGUGAGCAACACCUUGUGCUUCUAUAACACUGGCACAGUCACUUUCCCAAACAUUCAUGUUCACCGGUCCUUGCUGGUGGAAUGAUCUUCCCAAUCUUACCCGGACAGCCGAAUACUGUAUUCAAGAAACGGAGGUUCAAGAUUUUUUUUUUUUUUUUUUUUUCAGUGAGCACUUAACUGUGGAUGUUGACUGGAAAAAAUAUUUCUAUGCUUUAUAUUACUGUUAUUACCGCCACAGGAUGAAUAUCUUUGCUAAACUCCUGAUUUUUUAAAAUGUUUUUAUUUGCUUUGGUUAAAAGCAACAGCUAAAUGAAUUUAUAUUCCAGUAAUCGGUCUCUUUUAAUGCACGUAAUCGAGCUGUAAUUAAGCUGUGGGUGUUAGCAUGGUUCUGUUUUAUUAUUACUAUUAUUAUUAUGGUUAUGGUUUUCAUACUGUACAUGCACAUUUACAACAAUAAACCUUGUUUAUGUCUUUAUACUGUAUAAGGUUUUCAUGACAUGAUGUUGUGAAGCAAUUUUACACUGACUUUAACCAGCACUAAUUCAAAAAGUGUAGUUAUAUCAUAGUAAGUCAGACUGAGUUUUGAGAAAGACACAACUAUGAUUAUUCAAUAAACGCUUAAUGUUUGACUAACGUUACC
ensembl:lncRNA